rnacentral:sRNA from 1 species
UCUGUCCAGGUCUCGUCUCCUGCACGGGGUA